GACGAACGCUGGCGGCGUGCUUAACACAUGCAAGUCGAACGGUAAGGCCCUUCGGGGUACACGAGUGGCGAACGGGUGAGUAACACGUGGGUGAUCUGCCCUGCACUUCGGGAUAAGCCUGGGAAACUGGGGCUAAUACCGGAUAGGACUCCGGACUGCAUGGUCUGGGGUGGAAAGCCUUUGCGGUGUGGGAUGGGCCCGCGGCCUAUCAGCUUGUUGGGUGGGUGAUGGCCUACCAAGGCGGCGACGGGUAGCCGGCCUGAGAGGGUGACCGGCCACACUGGGACUGAGAUACGGCCCAGACUCCUACGGGAGGCAGCAGUGGGGAAUAUUGCACAAUGGGCGCAAGCCUGAUGCAGCGACGCCGCGUGAGGGAUGACGGCCUUCGGGUUGUAAACCUCUUUCAGCAUCGACGAAGCGAAAGUGACGGUAGGUGCAGAAGAAGGACCGGCCAACUACGUGCCAGCCGCCGCGGUAA
rnacentral:rRNA from 1 species